GAUGAAGAACGUAGCGAAAUGCGAUAAGUAAUAUGAAUUGCAGAAUUCAGUGAAUCAUCGAGUCUUUGAACGCACAUUGCGCCCCCUGGUAUUCCGGGGGGCAUGCCUGUCCGAGCGUCAUUGCUGCCCUCAAGCACGGCUUGUGUGUUGGGCCCCCGUCCCCGGUUUCCCCCGGGGACGGGCCCGAAAGGCAGCGGCGGCACCGCGUCCGGUCCUCGAGCGUAUGGGGCUUUGUCACCCGCUCUGUAGGCCCGGCCGGCGCCAGCCGACACCCAACUUUAUUUCUAAGGUUGACCUCGGAUCAGGUAGGGAUACCCGCUGAACUUAAGCAUAUCAAUAAGCGGAGGA
rnacentral:misc_RNA from 1 species